rnacentral:rRNA from 1 species
UGAGGAAUUUUCCGCAAUGGACGCAAGUCUGACGGAGCAACGCCGCGUGCAGGAGGACGCUUUUCGGAGUGUAAACUGCUUUUCCCAGGGAAGAGAGCGGACGGUACCUGGGGAAGAAGCCCCGGCUAACUACGUGCCAGCAGCCGCGGUAAUACGUAGGGGGCGAGCGUUGUCCGGAGUUACUGGGCGUAAAGGGCAUGCAGGCGGUCGUACGCGUUUUGUGUGACAGCGGGUGGCUUAACUACCCGAGUAUGCGAAAGACGGUAUGACUUGAGGGCUCGAGAGGGACACGGAAUUCCGGGUGGAGUGGUGAAAUGCGUAGAGAUCCGGAGGAACACCGAAGGCGAAGGCAGUGUCCUGGCGAGUGACUGACGCUGAGGUGCGAAAGCUAGGGGAGCGAACG